GGCAACUUGGCCGAGCGGUCUAUGGCGCUAGCUUCAGGUGCUAGUAUCGAAAGAUGCGUGGGUUCGAAUCCCACAGUUGUCA